AACGGCCGUACCAUGCUGAAUAUACCGGUUCUCGUUAGAUCACCGAAAUUAAGCAUCAUUGGGCGAGGUCAGUACUUGGGUGGGUGACCACCUGGGAACACUGCGUGUCGUU
rnacentral:rRNA from 1 species